AUUAGUACAGUCACUGUGAAAAAUAGUAUGGAGAUUUCUCAACAAUCAUACUAUCCAGCAAUCCUAUUGCUGUGUAUUUAUCCAUAAUAAAGGAAAUUAUAUCAAAGGGAUACCUGCACUCACAUGUUUAUUGCAGCACAAUUCACAAUAGCAAAGAUAUAGAAUCAACCUGAGUUUCCACUGUUGGAUAAUUGGAUAAAGAAAAUUUGUAUAUGUACAUAAUGUAAUACUAUUCAGCUUUCAUUUAAAAAGAAUGAAAUCUGGUCAUUUGCAGCAACAAGGAUGAACUGGAGGUCACUUUAUUAAGUGAAAUAAGCCAAGCACAGAAAGACAAAUAUUGCAUGUUCUCACUUGUAUGUAAGAGCUAAAAAAGUGCAUCUCAUAGAGAUACAGAGUGAAAUAUUAGGUUGAUACAAAAGUAAUUGCAGUUUUCGCCAUUUAAAAGUAAUGUUAAAAGUAAUAGUUACCAGUUAGAAAGAACGUGUAGGGGUGGGUGGAUAGAGGAAUGGAUGGGCAUAAAUUAGUUCAAACACAGUUAAGUAGAAGGAAUUAAGUUCUAAUGUUUGAUAACAGAGUAGGAUGUCUAUAGUUAGCAACAAUGUAUUGCGUAUAUAUCAAAAUAACUAGAAGAGAAGACUUGAAAUGUUCUCAACACAUAGAAAUGAUGAAUACUCAAGGUGCUGGACACUCUAAAUACCCUGAUUUGAUCAUUACACAUUCUGUGCAUGUAACAAAAUACCACAUGUAUCCCAUAAAAAUGUACAAAUAUAUAUCAAUUAUAAAAAGGGGGUGGGGGGAAGGACUGUGUGGCUACCAAAACUCAUUAUUUCAGGUUCUAGUAAAUGUAGUCACAACCAAGACUAGGCUUGAGCUCUUCUUUCAGCUUCCUGACAGCCAAGUAAUGGAGUGAAAGGUCAGAUGAUUUACUUAGGCCUGAGGCUGCCAUUAAUAUUGUCAAUGAAUGGCUUUGAACUAUGGCUCAUUAGCUUUGGUUAGAAUUGCUAAGCAAAUAAGCCAAAGUGAAAUUUUAUUGUAUCCCAUGGCCUAUCUAGUACCUUAACCUCAGGCAACCUUCUUACAUGGCAUCACAACCAAACUGAUGGAUAGGCAUAAAUCUUUUAUUGCUACAAGAAAAAAUAUCAAAGUGCUAGCUCUAUCAAAUGUGGGGCGAGUGAAUGCCCGUAGUGCAUCUAGCAUCUGCACAUUGUGUUCUGGAAGUGUGUUAAUUUGGCUUAAAGAAGAACUAUAAAUUAUUUGUCUUCAUUCAGAAAUCAGUAAUUCUCAAAAGGGAAGGUAGUUUAUAACUCCUAGGAAGACUAAUGAUUCUCAAAAGGGAGUAUGGUUUAUAACCUCUAGGGGUCACAUCAGAAUCUCCUGAGGAAAAUGCUGAACUAUGCAAUCCCUUCUCAACUUUCAACUAGAGAGAGAGUCUAACGACAUUGUCUCCUACGAAGGAUUUCAUGAUUGCUGUCAUGAAUCACUCUUAUUGAUGGAAGAAAAAGUUUAUGUCAGGUGUAUUGAGAUCCAAAAGGGAAAGAAUCACUGUUAUAAGCUGAAAUUGUUAAUACAAGUGCACAUGAAACAAAAGAGCAGCAAGGCAUUACACAAUUAGCUGACAUGUGUAGUGAUAUUUUUGCCACGCUAUACAGAAAGAAAUAUAACUGUAGUUUUUUCAUGAGCCAAAUUUCAAUAAUAGCUAUUAAAUGAUAUUUAAAAUGCUUCAUUUUAUAGAAAUGACCUUUUUCAGAAGCACUGGAAAAUUUUAACUCACAUAUACUAGCUGAAGGAAAAAGGUACUUGGUUGUAUUUCAAUAAGCCCUCUUUGCAUUGAGAAAAGAAUGCUGUCGACUACCUUUUGUUUCUUGGCUUGAUACUAGUUCUCUAGCUUUCUUUUUUUUUUUUUUCUUUUUAUCCUUUUUUUUUAAAAAAAUACACAAUUCUUACUAAUGCAAACCUCACAUUGACUCAGAUGAAAGAGGCAACAGAAUUUUCUGGACCCCAUGUACCCCUUAGAUAAUGUACCUCAACAAUGAUUCAGUUUCUUUUUCUAAUUUUGCAGAUCAUUUAACAAACUGUACAGCUGAAAAUGUUGUGCAUCUAGAUGAUCUGAUGGAGUUUAUACUUCAGAGUCACUGGGGAUGCCAAAGAUAUAUUUGCCUCUCAUUCACUAAGAAGGAAAAAAGAAAGAAAAUGUAACUAAUUGAAGAGUAUGGAUGACAAUUAUCAUUUUGUGAGUAUUUUCUCCUCUAUUUCCUCCUGAUUUAAACCAAUAUAAUGCUUAACAACUGCCCAUUCACAUUUCACAGGUGUUUGCUUUGUUCUUUUAAAACAACUCCUCCUAUCCAUCAAGGGGAAGAAAACAGAAAUAUUUUUUAAACCCAGGAAGAACUUUGAAGUCCUAGAAUAUUAAAGGGAAGUUGCAGAUAACUUAAUCUCACAAGUGAACUACUAAUUUGAGAUAAAUUACAAAAGGAAUUAUUUUAACAUGGAUUCACUUCUGACCUUUAAGGUGAAAGUGUAAGAUUGAUAUUCUCAAAUCUCAUGAAUUGUAGAUGUUUUCAUUAUUGUUGUAUUAUGCUUUAAAAGUACCUUUCCACUGGACAUUCUUAAAUCUAGGUAAAAAUUACAUUAAAAUUGUAGUUGCCAUUAUAUUUUUUCUGAUUUAUAUGUAUAUGUAUAUCAGAAGAAACAUUUUAUGUAUGCAUAUAUUUCUUUUUACAUUUACCAUCAUUGAAAAGUUUUAUAAUAUCACAGACUACAUCAAGAGUAGACUACUUUAUUUCUGCCACUAAUGGUAAACUUGAUUAUUUUCAGUAGUUUUCUUCAUUGAAAAUUGCCACCUAUCACUUGUUGGUGAUCUUUAUCUGAAUGUUACUAUUCAGAAAUAGAACUAAAGCUUUGCCACUUUUUAAGGAAUAAAAUUCCUUUGGGAAAAACUAUCUAUUACAUGUAAAUUUGUGAUAUAACAUUAUUUGUGGCUUGAGAGUAUCAUGAACAUGUUAGAUUUACACGGAAAUAUUUUCUCAGUAUGACAUCAUGAUUGAGAGUAUAUUAUUACUUAAUAAUAUUAAAGAAAUACAGGCACAAAUUGGAAGAUAAUUUUCUCAUUUUAAAAAUUCUCUUCAUGAAAAUAACCUGUGAACCCUUGAAAAAAUGUUUGUUUUAAUAUUGAUUUAAGACAUUAUUGGAUUAUGUGUGACAGCAGGAGCCCAGCAUAUCACAGUUCAUGCUUUUUAGAGCUUUUAAGUGUUGCUAUCCUUGUGUACCUUCUAUGCUUACAUGUUGAAAAUCAUUCAUGUGACAUUCAGGCUGUUCUGAGGGUCAUUUGAUGAAAUUGUUGGUGUAUUCCUUGGUGCAGAGCCCAGACCACCCAAUCUUUCUUUAACAAUUGCACUUCUGGAAAAAGGCAUGAUGGUCGAUACUAGGAGGCUGUUAAAUUGAGAGAAUAUAGGCCAAUUCAGAGCUGGUUUUGCCACUGAACUGGCGUAAAAAGAGCUUGGAUAGCCAGAUAUAUCUUCUUUUACGGUGACCAAAUGGGACCAAGUGUUUUUAUUAUUAUUACUAUUAUUCUUAAAAAUGAGAUAACAAUAUUUGCCAGUUAAGGCUAUUUUAAGGAUUAAGGGAAGGGAAAGGGUGAUCUGCUAUCUAUAGAAUAUUGACUAAGAAUAGGGGCUAGCAUUUGGUGUUUGAAAGGCUCUGUUAGCUGGUCACACUUUAGGUACUGUUGGUUAUAUUAAUAGCCCAGCUUCAGAGGGCUUCUAUCAAAAAGGUGGUUACAGUAAUUUUGUUACAAUUCUACUGCUAAGUGUGAAGACAUAGCCCCAUUCAUUAGGUUUACUCUUUGUAACCAGAGAGUAGCAUUCUAAUGAUAAAAAGGGCUAGAAAGUUAUUCAUACCUCUUCAGAUGAAGAAAUGUUUGUACCUUCCAAUGCUAAAUUUUGCCAUUGCUAUAACAAGAACUAAAUAAGAUUCAGAUUGUGUUAGCCUCUGAAUAUUUUGGAGUUAGCAGAAGAGAAAAGAAAAAAUGCUUAUUUUAACUUACUGGUAAAAUUCAGAAGCUGCAAAAUAAAAUAGGUACUACUAAUAUUCUAUAUGUUGCUUUUGAUUGGUCACCUUGUAGAAUGAAAAGAACUAUGAACCCUAAAUGGAACGCAUAUAUCUAUUAGUAAUCAGAGAAAUCCAAAUAAAAACCUUGACAGUUCAUUUAAAAUAAUUUUGAACAGAAGGGAUUCCCUACUCUGGGUACUACAAAGCUUUUAGAACUUCCCCUGGAUAUUUGAGGUUGGUACACAUACCCUAAAGUAAACAGCAAGUAAGUAACUUCUCUACAUGGUUGUUACAAAACUCAUGGACUUUUAAAUAUAUAAAAUAUAUAAUAUUUUAUAUAAUUAUGUAUGCUUUUAUAUAUGUGUAUAUAUACAUAUAUAUUAUAUAUAUAUAUAUAAUAUUGCACAUGCACACACACACACAUGCACACACAGAAAAGUAUAUGACAAUGGUAGGCAUGAGAAUGGCCAAGGGAGGGUGUAACAGCUAAAAAAAAAAAAAUCAUGGUAAAAAGAAGUAAAAGAAAACAAAACAGAGAGAAAAUAUACCAAGAAAAGGCAAAUUGAAUUUGUAAACAUGUGGAAGUUCAGGGCUAUUUGCAUCAUGCCAAGUCCUCACAUUCCAGUGACCCUUGCAGACAUUACUGAGUUACAUCACAAUAAUUGUUACAGAUACUUGGAGAUUCUAUGCCAAAAGUAUAUAGUUAAUUCCUACUCAUUGCAAACAAUAAAUAAUUCUACUGAAAACAUUUAGAUUUUUUUUAAAAGGGAAGUAAACUAACAAAAAGUAGUCAUCAGGUUAAGUAAUGAGUCACAUAAAAUAAACCAUAAUUCUCAAAAAGUAUAGAUAAAUGAAGUUUAUCUACACUUUUUAUCUAUUAUUCACCCAAUUUUUUCUUUAACCUUCAUCUCUCUUAUCAAAAUGGACAAAAUCACUUUCAACCAAAUUAUAACAUUUAUUGUAGGACAUAUUACCUCAAGUUUGUAGCCAAGGGUCAAUAUUGUAUUCAGGAUAAGGACAUAUAUUUUAGAUUUUCUGUUUUGUUUUGCUUGCUUUCAUUUUUUGGUUUACUUAUUUAUUCAUUUAUUAAUAGAUUAUUUCUAACUUCCUAAAACACUGGAUUGAAAAUAUAUUAUGGAGCCUAUGUCUAAAAAUGUUAAAAGUGUGUGAUUAUUUGGAGAAGGACAUGUUAGGUUUUCCUAGUACUUCCUUCCUUAUGAAACCAAGUUGACCAGAACAAAAGAACAAUUCCAUUGGUGCAUUCUGCCUUGUAAAGUGAGGUGUCCGCAGGAACCUAUGUGUGCAGGUCCCACAGCCCUUGACUGGUGAGUGAAUGAGAGGGCUUGACAGUUGAAUUCAAGCUGAAAGACUCUUUUUGCUAUUUAUACAUACAGCAAUGAUCUACCAUGAGACUGUUCUGCUCAAAGGCAAUGAUUUUGUCAAACAAAUUGUCUUUCAUUAAGAUAAGACUAAUGAACAAGUUCUAACACUGGCCAAAACAUUUGACAUCGUGUUUUCUCCAAGCGCAAAUCUAAGAAAUUAAUUAUUUUAUCUUUAGAAAAAGUUUUCCUCUGCUCCUUGCAGCAUUUCAGACUGCAUUUUCUUGAUGUGGCUUCUUUUCCCAAUAAAAUGUUGGGUACAUACUUUUGUAAAUUCAAAUAUCCAAGGUCAGCAUAAGCUCUUUAGCCAAUAACAAUAGAGCUUAAUUCCACAGCAUUUUUAGUUGUCUUUGGGGAUACCUCAAGUGCUGAGAGAUGAGUUAGUCACGCUCUGUAGUUAAUAAUGUUCAAUCAUUAGCUGUCUGGUCAGGCCUCUCUCUUCUUUUCCUUCAUAAUAUUUUUUCAAUUCAUUCCUGACCUCAUUUCCAUUUCCCCUUCCCCAACAAGCAGGCAUUCUAAUAAGUUUGAUAUAUGUCAUUGAAUAUAUAAAUAUCUUGAAAAAUAUACAAACUCAUUAUGUGUAUGCAUGUUUUAAUUUAGGUAAGUGGUGUUGUGCAAUAGAUUUUAUUUUCUGCCAUACUUUUUAUUCACUCAACAUGAUGUUUUUAAAAUGAUGCUAUACGUACUAAUUAAUUGCUACUAACCACUGCAUGUUAUUCCACAGUGUGUAUGAAAUACAUUUUAUUUAUCUGUUCCCUAAUAAUAGAACUUGAUACCAGCUCCCAGCUCCCUCAAAAUACAUGAGAGAUCCUCGCACUGGGUCUGGGGUACACCCACAAAUUUCUCCAAACAUUGCUAACUGACCUCAUCAGUCCUAGAUUUCCACUAACCUUGUACAAAGGCUCCCAAGGCUCACUGUCUCACCAACACCUAGUAUUAUUGAAAAUUCUAAUUUUUACAAACCUGAUGGGUAAAAGGGAUAUCUCAUUUUAAUUUGUGUUUUUCUGGUUAUUAGUGAGGGUGACCAUUUUACCAAACAUUGUUAACCAUUUGAAGUUCUCUUCUACUAAUUGUGUUUUCAAAGCAUUUCCCAGUAUUUAAAUUUGCUUUACCUUAUAGCAUAUUCAGGUUUUUUUUUAAGUGUAAAAUCAUUGGAAAAAUUAGGAUGGUUACCUAUCUAGCAUCUUUUGGCUAAGAAGAUGGCAUAGAAGUUGAAAAUUAGAUUGCUUGGGAAAUUUUUCAGAUACUGAGGACUAUUAAAUACUGGUUUGAAUCACAAUUUUACAACUUAAUUGCUGGGUGAAUUAGAGUCAGGUACUUUCUCUUCGUGUGUCUCUGGCUGGCUGUGUGUGUGUAUAUGUGUGUGUGUGUGUGUGUAAAAUGGGGGAAAUAAUAAUUGUGGUUUAUUGUGAGGCCUUGCUAUUUUCUAUAAGAUAACAUAUAAAGUUUGCAGUAUAGUACAUAGACAA